rnacentral:rRNA from 1 species
GUGGAUUAGAUACCCUGGUAGUCCACACUGUAAACGAUGUGCACUAGGUGCUGGGGCGGAUGCUUCAGUGCCGGAGCUAACGCGGUAAGUGCACCGCCUGGGGAGUAUGCUCGCAAGGGUGAAACUCAAAGGAAUUGACGGGGGCCCGCACAAGCGGUGGAGCAUGUGGUUUAAUUCGAUGGUACGCGAGGAACCUUACCUGGGUUUGACAUACGGAGGAAUGCGGUAGCGAUAUCGCAGCGUAGCAAUACGCCUUCGUACAGGUGCUGCACGGCCGUCGACAGCU